CUCUCUCUCUCUCUCUCUGCUUCUUUUUUCUUCUGCUACUCCUGUCCAAGAUGCCUGUCUCCCCUUCCCCUUUCCCCUUUUUAUGAUCCAUUUCCCUUAAUAAAAAAACAAAUACAAAAAAAAGCAACAGCAAUAACAACACCCUCCACUUGAACUCUGUCGCAUGGCAUUUUUCUCUCUCAGGCCGCUUUUUCUUUUCUUUUCUUUUCUUUUCUUUUUUUAAUUACAACAGAGAGCCUGACUACUCUUUCGGAGGACCCAGGUUUGUAUCCCAGCACCCACACGACGGCUCGCACCCAUCUGAAACCUAACCCAAGAGAAUCCAAUGCCUUCUCCUGGCUCUGUGGGCACUGAAUAUAUGUGGGGCACAGACGUGUACUCAAGCAAGCGUUCAUACAGGAAAAAGUUUGUCCAAAUAGUUGGGAGCCGUCUCCGAACUCAUGAGGCAGGACCAUCCAGGUGUUCUCUAAGACGCUGGAAGAGACUCAGAAUUUCCUGGGACCUUACCAAUCAUCCCGAGAAAGCCAGACCAGGCACAACUUCUUGAAGCAUCCCAGCUUCCCAUCCAGAGAAAGGAUGACUGCCCUUUACUGACAUGAAGAUGGGCUGUUCCCUCUACAUUCAGGGGAGGAAAAACCAACCUAAGCAGGACAAUUUUAUACAAUCAUCCUGAGUAUCCACUGAGGAUGGUCCAUACAGUGUUUAUAUGUCAUUGCUCAUUCCCUCACAUACUCAGGAGCAAGUCCCUUGCAAACCAAUGCUCACACCCUUUGUGUGCAACAUUCAGGAUCUUAUUUGCCAGCUCUGAUUCCUUCAGACCCUUAUGAACUAUGUCCAAGUCCUUAUGUACUAAUGUUCAAGUGCUUUGUCAACCAGUGCUCAAGUAUGUUCUGUACCAAAGUUGAAGUAAUUUAGUACCAAUGUCUAAACCCCUUAUGCACCAGUGUUCAAAUCAAUUAUGUAAUAAGUUUAAGUCCUUUGUGUAUCAGUGCUCAAGUCACUACCACAGGAAUGUCCAAGUCCUUCUUGUAAUGAUGCUCUAAUCAUUAUGUAAGAAUACUCACAUCUGGCCAGGCGGUGGUGGCACACGCCUUUAAUCCCAGCACUCGGGAGGCAGAGGCAGGCGGAUCUCUGUGAGUUCGAGGCCGGGCUGGACCGACAGCCUCCAAAACAAUACAGAAAAACCCUGUCUUGUAAAACAAAACAAAACAAAAAAGAAUACAUCUAUUAUGUACCAAUGCUCAAGUU